CUGGAAGUCUUCUUUCUGGUGGAGUCUGGUGACGGCAUUCAUACACACAGUUUUAGGGACCGGCAGCAAGUGCUCUCUAUAGAAGAGUAUGUAGGGACCGUCAGCAAGUUCUUUGCCGUCAGUUUAGUGUUUCAGGUUGAGUAGGCAAGCAGCAGAUAUCAACUGUAAUUACUUUAUCACAAGUGAAAGAAACAUUGAUUGUAUAAGUUGCCAAAAAUCACCACCGCCACCGAGAUGCUUAGGGUGGCGGGAUAAGAGGGGUGAUAUUUAUAUAUAUACACAUACAUAUAUACAUAUAUAUGUAUGUAUAUGUAUAGAUAUAUUUGUGUAUAUAUAUCCCACCGGCCCCGAGGACAUUUUCACCUGAAUUGAUCCUCUGUAAGGGGUGGAGUUGCUCCACUCCGGCCAAUCACAGAGCAGUUCUCGUUAGCUCUUAAUGAGGUUCAUCUGCUAUAUUAGGCGCAUGCGCAGCAUGUGAAUCAUUUUGUGUGGGUCCGAUUGGCGUUGAAUCGGAAGUUGCUGCCUCUUCUGACCGGUCUGGAGCGACACCCGGGGUGGAACCCGGGAGCGAGGCCGGGGACGCAGCAGCUGCGUGCCAUGUGUGUCAGUAUGGCUCGUGUCCCUGCUGUGGCUGGUGUAGCGUCAACCAUUCUGCACCAGUACCAGGGAAGCUGAUGGCUGAGAUAUCCAAGCUGAAACCUCCCUCUUCAGUCUGACUGACUGGAUGCCUGGACUCUCCUUCCAGCCCCCAGUGCCAUACACUCUUUAUAUUCACUAUCACUAACUGAAUGAUUUCACAUGUUCCCACCCUUGAGGAAGGGAUCCCCCACUCUGCCUUUCUUCUCAACAUUUCUUCCUCUUAAGAGUAUUUCUUGCCCUCUGGGGGUCAAGGGUCAGGGGGGGGUGUCAUAAAUAAAUGACCUGUGGCAAUCUGAGUAUGUAACUGAUGAGAGCUAUACAAAUAAAACUGAAUUGACUUGAAUAAUCUUCCACUUUACUCCAAGAAUUUCACGUGCAUAUAUUCAACCAAACAACUUUUAUAUUUGUUUUUAUCAUUUAGACACUGGAUAUCAGAGACAAUAGAUCAUCACAACCAAUUAUAAAAUAUCAGUCCGAACAUCAAGCAGCAAAUGUUUUCUAUGAUGAAUCAUCAAAAUGAGAUUCUGUCGCUGACAGCAGAUCAGAGUCCUGAUCCACUGACAUGUCGGGGACUAUGGCAACCGUGGGGAAAUAAAGACUAUUUACUGCUGUAAGCUAGUGCCGUGGGAACAGCAAAGACCGCAUAGACGGCAGUGUUAAUAUGUUCAUCACCAUGGAAACAAGAUGCUUCCUUAUCAAAUCAAUCAUUUUUUACAUUUUUUUUAUUCCUGUAAAUGUAUCACACUGGUUAACAGCAAUGUGAGUUGUAUUGUCAGACAAAGUUUAUACUGGUAACACCAAAGAUAUAUAGAUUCCUCGUUGAAAUGUGAAGUACUUUGUAUAUUUCGGAGUACAGAGUUAUGUCCAAGCUUCCCUCAUUUCUAAUCUCAAAACACACGAGAGUAAACGCGCAAAACAGGAGAAUCAGAAAGAAAAUCGUUGGGUUCAACACGACUGAAGCCAGUGGAGGACGGAAACACAGUGGACCCUCAAAUAGGACCCCCACAGUAGACCCCCCUAGAGGACCCCGUCCCCCCACAGAGGACCCCCUCUCCCCAUAACAUCAGGGAAGAUGUGACAAAGACCCACACCAACAAAACUCACCCACACGCAUGGUCACACAAGAGGAGUACAGUUCUGCAACCGGUGGGGAACGUUUAAGAGGCAACACACAUCAAGAAGAGGAGAGGCAUGGAGUCUCAGAGGGACAUAAGGUUGGUGUAAUAUGGGUGGUUUAAUGGG